UGGGGAAUCUUGUCCAAUGGGGGAAACCCUGAGACAGCGACGCCGCGUGAGUGAAGAAGGUCUUCGGAUUGUAAAGCUCUGUCGUUAGGGAAGAAGAAGUGACGGUACCUAACAAGAAAGCCCCGGCUAACUACGUGCCAGCAGCCGCGGUAAUACGUAGGGGGCAAGCGUUGUCCGGAUUGACUGGGCGUAAAGAGCACGUAGGCGGUCUGAUAUGUCUGAUGUGAAAUACCUGGGCUUAACCGAGGAGUUGCAUUGGAAACUGUCAGACUUGAGUACAGGAGAGGAAAGCGGAAUUCCUAGUGUAGCGGUGGAAUGCGUAGAUAUUAGGAGGAACACCAGUGGCGAAGGCGGCUUUCUGGACUGGAUCUGACGCUGAGGUGCGAGAGCUGGGGGAGCGAACAGG
rnacentral:rRNA from 2 species